UACUUGCCACCAGAGCAGUAGUCUGUCUGUCUCUAUAAGGUGUUCAAGAAGCUGGUCUUCCUCAUUUGGUGCUGAAACUCGGGAACUUCGGAACGGAAGGAACGUCGCUUGCCUCCAAAAGCCGUGGAUAGGUAAGAGAAUCGGAGACGCACCUUCCCCUUGAUGGUUGCCAUACAGGUGUGUAGGCCAUGGCGAAAACCAAGAUGGAAAAUUAAGAAAACAGAUGUCUCAUCUUUCCCUUCAGUGCCACCUCCAGGAACCUCGAAUGAUAACUUCUAUGACAGUACAUGAUCGAAUGCAGCUGAUUGCCCUGUUGAUUAGCAUUAUCUUGAUGUUACAUCGAGGCUGCUCUGCAGAAGUUUAUUGGGCGUAUGUUCCAAAUCCAACUAUAAUUCAUCCUGUCACUUGGGAUGAGACUGUAGAUAUUCCUGUUUAUGUCAAUCAAACCAAAUAUUUAGGAGAGUAUUCUGAUGGUCAUAUAUUACAAUUUCAUGCCUUUUUAAAUUAUUCUGGUAAAUAUGAAGGAUCUUUGUUGUGUUUUGGCAAGAACUUGACUGAAAAUUGUGAACAAGUUAACAUAGAAGAUGAUGGGACAAUAAUUUUAAUGCAGGCAUACAUUGGGCCCUGGACUUUCAUUAUCUGAUA
rnacentral:lncRNA from 1 species